ACCUGAAAUUGAUGGGACAAAAACAUAGAAGAUAGUGACAUCGAGUCUGCACCUAAGCUCAUCGAAGUUCCAUUCCAGAACUGCAAAGGACAGGUCGAUCACUGGGUUGAGCCAUAUCUCAGAAUCUCAAUUGAAUGUGUGCAUCGAAGUGAAACACCAUACUUGAAGUGCCUCCUGAUCCAAGUGAUUGCUGAUGCUCUUUACUAUAACCCUUCAUUUACGCUGAGCAUACUGCUUGGUGUUGCUACAGAGAUCUUCAAUCUUUGGUUCCAUAUGCUACAACAAACGAAAAAAAAGUGAAGCUCGGGCUAAUUCUAAAAGGGAGCAUGAGAAGAAGGUUUGCUGCUUGGGCUUCACAUCAUUGCUCAGUCUUCCUGCUGAUCAAAUGCCAGCAGCAACCUUAGAGG